rnacentral:rRNA from 1 species
UACGAAGGGAGCUAGCGUUGUUCGGAAUUACUGGGCGUAAAGAGCUCGUAGGUGGUUUGUCGCGUUGUUCGUGAAAACUCACAGCUCAACUGUGGGCGUGCGGGCGAUACGGGCAGACUUGAGUACUGCAGGGGAGACUGGAAUUCCUGGUGUAGCGGUGGAAUGCGCAGAUAUCAGGAGGAACACCGGUGGCGAAGGCGGGUCUCUGGGCCGAUACUGACGCUGAGGAGCGAAAGCGUGGGGAGCGAACAGG